AUUGAACGCUGGCGGCAGGCCUAACACAUGCAAGUCGAACGGCAGCACAGAGAGCUUGCUCUUUGGGUGGCGAGUGGCGGACGGGUGAGUAAUGUCUGGGAAACUGCCCGAUGGAGGGGGAUAACUACUGGAAACGGUAGCUAAUACCGCAUAACGUCGCAAGACCAAAGUGGGGGACCUUCGGGCCUCACACCAUCGGAUGUGCCCAGAUGGGAUUAGCUAGUAGGUGGGGUAAUGGCUCACCUAGGCGACGAUCCCUAGCUGGUCUGAGAGGAUGACCAGCCACCCUGGAACUGAGCAACGGUCCAGACUCCUACGGGAGGCAGCAGUGGGGAAUAUUGCACAAUGGGCGCAAGCCUGAUGCAGCCAUGCCGCGUGUAUGAAGAAGGCCUUCGGGUUGUAAAGUACUUUCAGCGGGGAGGAAGGCGGUGAGGUUAAUAACCUUGCCGAUUGACGUUACCCGCAGAAGAAGCACCGGCUAACUCCGUGCCAGCAGCCGCCGUAA
rnacentral:rRNA from 1 species